GGGUAUGUAGCUCAAGUUGCAGAGCAACUAUCUAAAUAGUUUAAGGCCUUAAGUUCAAAUCCUAGUCAUGCCCC
rnacentral:tRNA from 1 species